rnacentral:rRNA from 1 species
AGGGUUCGAUUCUGGCUCAGAACGAACGCUGGUGGCGUGUCUAUACAUGCAAGUCGAGCGAGGCAGCAAUGCCGAGCGGCGAACGGGUGAGUAACGCGUAAGCAAUCUGCCCCAUAUCAGGAAAUACCCGUGCCAACGCGCGGUUAAUGUCCAGGAGAGUGGCCCCUUGCAUGAGGGGUUGACUAGAGAUUUAUCGGUAUGGGAUGAGCUUGCGUCCGAUUAGCUAGUUGGCGGGGCAACGGCCCACCAAGGCGACGAUCGGUAGCCGGCCUGAGAGGGUGAUCGGCCACAUUGGGACUGAGAUACGGCCCAGACUCCUACGGGAGGCAGCAGUAGGGAAUAUUGCACAAUGGGGGAAACCCUGAUGCAGCAACGCCACGUGUGGGAAGAAGCAUUUCGGUGUGUAAACCACUGUCAUGAGGGAAUAAGGCCCGCCUUCGGACGGGAUUGAAUGUACCUUGAGAGGAAGCACCGGCAAACUUCGUGCCAGCCGCAGC